rnacentral:lncRNA from 1 species
CAUAGUCACAAUUUUCAACACCACCACCAUCAUUGCCACUGCAGCCAGCAAAACCCAUCCCAAAUCGCAUCUACCUAUUUCCUUAAAUCGCCACAACCAGCACCGCCAAUGUCACCCAUUUCCAUAACCACCACAUUCACCACCACAACCGAGUCAAGCAAUUUAUUGGUCACAGACACUAUUGAUCUACCCGAUCGACGCCGACGUUGCUGCCACCAAUACCAUGCCGCCAUCGCCUGCACCGCAUCCAAC